GCCACGGUAGCUCAGCCUGGUUAGAGAAACACUCGGCCACAGCGACGCCUUGGUAAGGCGUAGGUCGUGGGAUCGAAUCCCACCCGUGGCU
rnacentral:tRNA from 1 species